rnacentral:lncRNA from 1 species
AAGAAAAUCAGAGUUUGCACUAUGACUUUAGCAACCUCAGCAGUGUGGGCUCAUUAAUGAAUGGCCCCAGCUUCACCUCCAAAGGAACAAAAUACUUCCAUUUCUUCAAUAUCAGUUUAUGUGGGCAUGAGAAGAAAAAGACUUUCAAGAGGAAGCUUGUCCAAAAUAAAAAGGAGACAUGCAGGGCCAAAUAUCAGUUGAUAAGGGGAAGAAGAUGGCUCUCUGUACCAACAAUAUAACAGACUUUACAGUAAAAGAAAUAGUGGCAGGGUCAGAUGAUUACACAAAUUUGGUAGGGGCAUUUGUAUGCCAGUCAACAAUUAUUCCUUCUGAAAGUAAGGGUUUCCGAGCAGCCUUAUCAUCACAAUCCAUCAUUCUGGCAGAUACAUUCAUAGGAGUCACAGUUGAAACCACAUUGAAAAAUAUUAAUAUAAAAGAAGAUAUGUUCCCAGUUCCAACAAGCCAAAUACCAGAUGUGCAUUUCUUUUAUAAGUCUUCUACAGCAACAACAUCUUGUAUUAAUGGCCGAUCAACUGCUGUGAAAAUGAGGUGUAAUCCUACUAAAUC